rnacentral:rRNA from 1 species
AUUGAACGCUGGCGGCAGGCCUAACACAUGCAAGUCGAGCGGAUGAAGGGAGCUUGCUCCUGGAUUCAGCGGCGGACGGGUGAGUAAUGCCUAGGAAUCUGCCUGGUAGUGGGGGAUAACGUCCGGAAACGGGCGCUAAUACCGCAUACGUCCUGAGGGAGAAAGUGGGGGAUCUUCGGACCUCACGCUAUCAGAUGAGCCUAGGUCGGAUUAGCUAGUUGGUGGGGUAAAGGCCUACCAAGGCGACGAUCCGUAACUGGUCUGAGAGGAUGAUCAGUCACACUGGAACUGAGACACGGUCCAGACUCCUACGAGAGGCAGCAGUGGGGAAUAUUGGACAGUGGGCGAAAGCCUGAUCCAGCCAUGCCGCGUGUGUGAAGAAGGUCUUCGGAUUGUAAAGCACUUUAAGUUGGGAGGAAGGGCAGUAAGUUAAUACCUUGCUGUUUUGACGUUACCAACAGAAUAAGCACCGGCUAACUUCGUG